UAUCUAAUCCGUAAACGAUGGAUACUAGUUGUUUGAUCUUCGGAUUGAGUGACUAAGCGAAAGUGAUAAGUAUCCCACCUGGGGAGUACGUUCGCAAGAAUGAAACUCAAAGGAAUUGACGGGGGCCCGCACAAGCGGUGGAGCAUGUGGUUUAAUUCGAUGAUACGCGAGGAACCUUACCAGGGCUUAAAUGUAGUCUGACAGCUUUAGAGAUAGAGUUUUCUUCGGACAGAUUACAAGGUGCUGCAUGGUUGUCGUCAGCUCGUGCCGUGAGGUGUCAGGUUAAGUCCUAUAACGAGCGCAACCCCUGUUGUUAGUCGCCAGCGAGUAAUGUCGGGAACUCUAGCAAGACUGCCGGUGCAAACCGUGAGGAAGGUGGGGAUGACGUCAAAUCAUCACGGCCCUUACGUCCUGGGCCACACACGUGCUACAAUGGUAGGUACAGAGAGCAGCCACUGCGCGAGCAGGAGCGAAUCUAUAAAACCUAUCGUAGUCCGGAUUGG
rnacentral:rRNA from 1 species